rnacentral:rRNA from 1 species
CCUACGGGUGGCAGCAGUGAGGAAUAUUGGUCAAUGGACGAGAGUCUGAACCAGCCAAGUAGCGUGAAGGAUGACUGCCCUAUGGGUUGUAAACUUCUUUUAUAUGGGAAUAAAACGUUCCACGUGUGGGAUUUUGUAUGUACCAUAUGAAUAAGGAUCGGCUAACUCCGUGCCAGCAGCCGCGGUAAUACGGAGGAUCCGAUCGUUAUCCGGAUUUAUUGGGUUUAAAGGGAGCGUAGGUGGAUUGUUAAGUCAGUUGUGAAAGUUUGCGGCUCAACCGUAAAAUUGCAGUUGAAACUGGCAGUCUUGCGUACAGUAGAGGUGGGCGGAAUUCGUGGUGUAGCGGUGAAAUGCUUAGAUAUCACGAAGAACUCCGAUUGCGAAGGCAGUUCACUGGACUGCAACUGACACUGAGGCUCGAAAGUGUGGGUAUCAAACAGGAUUAGAUACCCUUGUAGUC